rnacentral:lncRNA from 1 species
CGCCAAGUCCCCAGGGAGCCCCAAGGGACCCCCCGGGGGACACAAACUACGACGACGUGGGCAUCAGCACCCUGGGGACAUCGCCGUGAGGACGCCCGGGCCACAGCGCGGGGGUCCCUGGGGACACACCUGCAGGGUGGUGGGGCUCUGUCCCCAAGAAGGGGUGGCCCUGGCUACGGAGGAGGUCACCUCUCCCUGCCCAGGACCACAGCACAGCGACAGCACAGCUCCCCCGGCCCCGGGGCAGGCUUUGCUUUUAUUAUUUCAUUGUCAGUUUAUCCUUUUUUUUUCUUUUUUUCUCUAUUAAACCCCCCAACUGGGUGGACACUCUCUUCCAGGGCUGGCACCUCUCUGCUGGGUCCCUCUGCCAUCCCGCAGGGACGUGGGGCAGGAGCUGGACCCACAGGGACAUCCCUGGGGACGCAGGGACAGGGGGAGAGAGGAGGGGGAAGAGCCAGGGGACUGGCCCCGGGGCCUUUCUUUGUCAUCGCCCAAAACUCUUCCCAGCGUGGGGAAAACGGGAGAGGGAAGGAGCAGGACCAGCCCUGCCCUGCCCCCCAGCAGAUGCAGGCAGGACCCCCAAGUGUGGGGCAGGCUCAGACCCAGGGAGGCUUCCCCCCGCCUUCAGCAGCACCGCAAAUGGGGCUAGAAGUGGCUGGGGUUGUUGCGAGGGGCUCUCCUAAAGGAGGGGAGCCCCUUCCUGCCCCCCGGCCCCCCUGUGCCCCCCAGCGUGCCGUCCCCCAGCUCCAGCCGGGCCAGGGUGGGGUGUUGGGCCAGUAGCCCCGCCAGCUCGGCACAGCAGCUCUCGGACAGCCUGCACCACUGCAGCCUGCGGGGAGGGGACGCAGAGAACGGACCAGCUCGUCACAGCUGCCUUGGCUGCCCACCCCAUUCCCCCUGCCCCUCGGCCAAUCAGCAUGGAGGGACCACACCCACCCACCACAUGGCCAAUCAGAAUGGAAGGACCACACCUACCCACCAUAUGACCAAUCAGCUUGGAAGGGCUCCACCCACCCUCCCAUACCAUGGCCAGUCAGCAUGGAGGGACCACCCCAAGCCAUGGCCAAUCAGCAUGGAGCAACUGCAGCCCCCUUCCACCAGAGGGUCAAUUAGCAUUGAGGGACCACACCCACCCACCAUAUGACGAAUAGCUUGCAAGGGCUCCACCCAC